rnacentral:sRNA from 1 species
UAACUCCCCCUCUCUCUCUCUCUUACAUGUCCACUAUGGAAUGUUUACUCCACAUAACCCCUCUCACCGUCUUUUGUCGAAAAGCCUCGACUUGUUCCCCGAUAUGCCCUCCGUCAAAUGGUCAUCAUUUUGAAACUUGCGGUCUGCCCAACAGGUGAUUGGGCGCGCCCCGCGCCUUUUGAUUCUUCAUGGUAUGAAAAGGAAAAUCAAAAAGAAAUGAAAUGAAAGCAGAAAAAAAAAAAUGAAGAAAAAAAAAAGAAAAUCUUCAUUCCGCUGUUGCUCUGCCGUAUUGUAUUUUAUUUCUGCUGUUGAUGUUGCAGCAGCAAUUCACCGUCUUCUCUGAAGAAAUGAAUAGGCUUCGUUGGUGGGCUUGCGUUCACUCAGCCUUGUUGUUGAUUCUAUCUCCCCCAAGCCUCCCCGCAGAAUGAGUUGUACGCAGCGCUUGCUGCCCAAUAAGGCUACCAUUGUUUCUUUUGUCAAUCAUGCUGGGUUGCAAUGCUCUUUUAUUCUCCGAAACGAGUUUCAGUUGGAUAUUGCGAUACGGUAGCCGUAUGUGUAAUACAUUUUCUAUCACUUGUUUUUUUUUUUUUUUCUUUUUUCUUUUUUCUUCUAUUGUGGCCGUUUGAAUAUGUUGCUGCUGGGGCAACUCUUCUGUCUCAUGUAUUCCCUCUGAUUGGGUAUGAUUGGA